GGCGAGAUAGUAUAAUGGCUAGUACACUCGGUUCUGAUUAUUCGCUCGCUUCUACGAGCGCAGAGCAACCACUUCCGAGCAAUCUGGGUUCGAUCCCCAGUCACGCCU
rnacentral:tRNA from 1 species